rnacentral:rRNA from 1 species
CCAGCAUUGAGUUCAACCCUUUAUGUUAAUUGCCAGCAUUAAACUGGACGAUGUAAGGGAAGACGUGAAAUCAUCAUGCACGAAAUUGCGGAGGAUAUAAAAUUAUUACAAUCGAUAUUACAAAGGGUACCAAGACCGUGCAAUUUAUGCAAUAAAAUAAAGCCAUUCUCAGUU